UUAUCUCUGUAGAGUCUGCAUAUCAAUAAGCGGAGGAAAAGAAACUAACAAGGAUUCCCUUAGUAACGGCGAGUGAAGCGGGAAGAGCUCAAAUUUGAAAUCUUCAAGGUUUUACCUUGACGAAUUGUAGUUUAAAGAAGUGUUUUCUGUUGAAGUUUCGGUAAAAGUUCUUUGGAAUAGGACAUCAUAGAGGGUGAGAAUCCCGUAUUUGACCGUUAUUUUCAGCUGUGUGAUACACUUUCAAAGAGUCGGAUUGUUUGGGAAUGCAGUCCAAAAUGGGUGGUAAAUUUCAUCUAAAGCUAAAUAUUGGCGAGAGACCGAUAGCGAACAAGUACCGUGAGGGAAAGAUGAAAAGAACUUUGAAAAGAGAGUUAAACAGUACGUGAAAUUGUCAAAAGGGAAGCGUUUGACACCAGUGUUGUUUUCUCGAAAAUCAAUUAAAAAUGGCUUGAUUUUGUGUUGUAUUGACCUUAAAAGCUUUCUUCACUUUUUUCAUGUCUUUUUUAAUGCACUUUUCGUUUAACAAGUCAACAUCAGUUUCUUUUGUUGUAAAAAGGUCAUUGGAAGGUGGCUUUCUUUUCGGAGAAAGUGUUUAUAGCCUUUGACUUCUGCAAUCGGAGAGACUGAGGUCUGCAGCGUAGAUCCUUCUGGAUUAGAUUCAUUCGUGCUAAGUUACAACCGUUUAUAGACAACUUGUUGACUAUAUUCGAUCCUGUAGCUUACUCGCUUAUGUAAUUUUACCUACGCUUAGGAUGUUGAUAUGCAUGACUGAUAU
rnacentral:rRNA from 1 species